CACCGACAAACUAGCCCGACUCUUAUAAAACAACAUACCAACAUAUAUAACCCCUAAAACACCCUAGUUAAUUUAACUAAACCAUUCUUUCCCCGAGUACGGAAGACGAAACAGGAAACACGGAGCAAUAGAAAAAGUACCGCAAGGGAAAGAUGAAAGAGAAAUGAAAUAACCCAGUUAAGACCCAAAAAGCAGAGUUGAGGUCAAAUCUCGUACCUUUUGCAUCAUGCUUUAGCCAGAAACCUCAAGCAAAGAGCCCUUUAGUUUGAAACCCCGAAACUGAGUGAGCUACUCCAAGCCAGCCUAAAAACCAGGGCACACCCUCCUCUGUGGCAAAAGAGUGGGAAGAGCUUUGAGUAGAAGUGAAAAGCCUAUCGAACUCAGUUAUAGCUGGUUGCCUGGGAAUUGAAUAUCAGUUCAGCCUCCCAACUUCUUCAUCCCCUUUUAAUACUUUUUCCGCCCACGAGGGCCCUUUUAAAGGUAAAAAGAAGAAGAGAGAGUAAGUCAAAGGGGGUACAGCCCCUUUGAAACAGACACAACUUUGCUAGGAGAGUAAGGAUCAAAUUAAUUCAAGGCAUUGUGUUUAAGUGGGCCUAAAAGCAGCCAUCUUAUCAAAAAGCGUCAAAGCUUAAACAUUAAACCACCCCUUUAUUCUGACAUCUUCUUCCAACCCCCCUAACAUCUACCAGGCCGCUCUAUUAAUAUAGAAACGACUAUGCUAAAAUGAGUAAUAAGGAAGCAAGCCUUCCUCAUAGCACACGUGUACCUUGGAUCGGACCCCCCGCCAAAUAUUAACGACCCCAAAAUACAGAGGGAAAUAAAAACUAAGCCCGAACACUAGAAACACCUUUAAAACCCGAUCGUUAACCCCACACAGGAGUGCACUAAACGAAAGACUAAAAGAAAAAGAAGGAACUCGGCAAUAACCACCAAGCCUCGCCUGUUUACCAAAAACAUCGCCUCUUGACCCCCUCGUAUAAGAGGUCCUGCCUGCCCACUGACACCCUGUUAAACGGCCGCGGUAUUUUGACCGUGCUAAGGUAGCAACUUUACCGGUAAUCACUUGUCUUUUAAAUAAAGACCUGUAUGAAUGGCAAGACGAGGGCUUAACUGUCUCCUUUUUCCAGUCAAUGAAAUUGAUCUUCCCGUGCAGAAGCGGGGAUAGACCCAUAAGACGAGAAGACCCUGUGGAGCUUUAGACAAUAGAACUGCCUACGUCAAUCACCCUAAAACAAACCCCAGUAAACUAAGUGGGACCUGUUCUAAUGUCUUCGGUUGGGGCGACCACGGGGAAUCACAAAACCCCCGCGUGGACUGGGAACACCCUCCUCCUACAAACCAGAGAAGCACCUCCAGUUAACAGAACUUCUGACCUAAAAUGAUCCGGCUAUGCCGAUCAACGGACCAAGUUACCCCAGGGAUAACAGCGCAAUCCCCUUUCAGAGCCCAUAUCGACAAGGGGGUUUACGACCUCGAUGUUGGAUCAGGACAUCCUAGGGGUGCAGCAGCUCCUAAGGGUUCGUUUGUUCAACGAUUAAAGUCCUACGUGAUCUGAGUUCAGACCGGAGAAAUCCAGGUCAGUUUCUAUCUAUGUUACACUCUCUUCUAGUACGAAAGGACCGGAGAAAGGAAGCCUAUGCCCUCGGCACGCCUUCCCCCUAAUCGAUGAAAUAAUCUAAAUUGAUUUAAGGGGCGUAACCCCACCAAGAAACUAAUGUUAA
rnacentral:rRNA from 1 species